CUCUAUGGCCAUACCAUCCUGAACGUGCCCAAUUUUAUCUCAUCUCUGAAGCCAGGCAGGGCUGGGCUUGUACUUGGAGAAAUGUGAAUCCACUGACCAGAGAUA
ensembl:rRNA 5S_rRNA 5S ribosomal RNA